rnacentral:rRNA from 1 species
GAUCGACUUACAGGUAUUGUAAUAAGGUUUUAAUUGAAUGCUAAAAGAAUGGAAUUACAGGGAAAAGUUUUUUUAAAUUUAAUAAUUGAAGUUAUUUUAAUUUGUGAAGAAACAAUUAUAUAAAUUAAAGACAAGAAGACCCUAAGAAUUUAAGAAUUUUUAUUAAUAUAUUAUAUGUGUAUAUAUAUAAAUAAAAUUCUUAGUUGGGGCAACUAAAAAAUAUAUUAAACUUUUUUUUUAAAAAAAUGACCCAUUAUUAAUGAUAAUAUGAAAAAAAUACUCUAGGGAUAACAGCGUAAUAAUUUUUGAUAGAUCUUAUAGACAAAAUAGUUUGCGACCUCGAUGUUGGAUUAGGAUACUUUUUUAAUGAAGAUGUUAAAAAAAGAAGUUUGUUCAACUUUUAAAUUCCUACAUGAUCUGAGUUUAGACCGAUGAGAAUGAGGA